rnacentral:rRNA from 1 species
UGGGGAAUAUUGGACAAUGGGGGAAACCCUGAUCCAGCCAUGCCGCGUGAGUGAUGAAGGCCUUAGGGUUGUAAAGCUCUUUUACCAGGGCUGAUAAUGACAGUACCUGGAGAAUAAGCCCCGGCUAACUCCGUGCCAGCAGCCGCGGUAAUAUGGAGGGGGCUAGCGUUGUUCGGAAUUACUGGGCGUAAAGCGCGCGUAGGCGGGUCAUUAAGUCAGGGGUGAAAUCCCGAGGCUCAACCUCGGAAUUGCCUCUGAUACUGGUGACCUCGAGUCCGAGAGAGGUGAGUGGAACUCCGAGUGUAGAGGUGAAAUUCGUAGAUAUUCGGAAGAACACCAGUGGCGAAGGCGGCUCACUGGCUCGGUACUGACGCUGAGGUGCGAAAGCGUGGGGAGCAAACAGGAUUAGAUACCCGUGUAGUCC